AACGCGAAGAACCUUACCGGGGCUUGACAUGGGCCUGUAACGCCGAGAGAUCGGCGCCUCCGCAAGGACAGGUUCACAGGUGCUGCAUGGCUGUCGUCAGCUCGUGUCGUGAGAUGUUGGGUUAAGUCCCGCAACGAGCGCAACCCUCGUGGCUAGUUACUCUGUCUAGCCAGACUGCCGAGAGAAACUCGGAGGAAGGUGGGGAUGACGUCAAGUCAGCACGGCCCUUACGUCCCGGGCUACACACACGCUACAAUGGCUACGACAGAGGGCUGCCAAGGCGCGAGCCGGAGCUAAUCCCACAAACGUAGCCUCAGUUCAGAUUGUAGGCUGCAACUCGCCUACAUGAAGCCGGAGUUGCUAGUAACCGCAGGUCAGCACACUGCGGUGAAUAUGUUCCCGGGCCUUGUACACACCGCGAGC
rnacentral:rRNA from 1 species